rnacentral:lncRNA from 1 species
GUGCGCGCCGUGUUCCACCGCGUCGUCGCCAGCCGCGCCGAGGUCGUGCGCUGCAUGGAGCACAGCGCGCGCAGCACCGCCGGGUCCGCCUCCGGCGUGCCGGCGCCGCAACCCCAUUCCUUCUGAGCAGAGGACGAUUGAUUAGGAUUUUUACCUUCUUUGGGUUGAAAAAAGAUCCCUCCUUUCUCUGCUCAAACUGUACCAUUCUUUGAUUUGGAUCACUGCCUGUGUGAUCUUGUGUAUGUAGACGUAUGGCUUGGCUGUAAAAACUAACUUUUUUUGGAUUGAUUAGUGCUGUUCUUGAUGCUCAACAGCAGAGAGAAGAGAAUGUGUUAUCUGUUGAAAGAGGAAAAAAGAAAGAAAAAGAUAGAGUCAAAGAUUUGUCUCCCAAAAGAACAAAAAAGAAAGAAAAAUGAGGAAGAAGGAUUCAAAGAUUGUAGAAUUUGUCAGCCCUCAUCAUCAUCAGCAACAACAUCGUCACUCAAAAAAUUGUGUUCCCUUCUCCUGUGUUGCACUUUCCUCCUGGGAUCAACAGACCCUAUUUUUUUCCAAUCAUCAAGCUAUUUCAGGAUUCAGAUGACCAAAUUUAUGAGCUGCAGAUCAUCCGGCUAUUUCAGGAAUCAGGAUUGAGAUGGCCAAAUUUAUGAGCCGCAGAUCAUUCGGCUGUUUCAGGAAUCAGGAUUGAGAUGGCCAAAUUUAUGAGCUGCAGAUCAUUCGGCUGUUUCAGGAAUCAGGAUUGAGAUGACCAAAUUUAUGAGCUGUAUAUCAUCAAAGCUGUUUCAGGGUUCAGAUGUCCAAAGUUUGAGCUUUGCAACACCCAUUUGUUCCUGGAUUUCAGAUGACCAGAGUUUGGGGUGCAACCUUGAGAUGGUUGACAAGCGGGUUGACUCAGGACAAAGAUCGCCAAGCAAAUCAAAGACAAAGAUCGAUCAAGUUGGUGGUGGCAUCUGGCGGAGAAAGAGGAGGCAAUCAAACGCAUGGUUGACUCAACCCAAGCCAAGACAAGCCAAGCCGGCCGGCCUGCAGCCACCAAACAGUGACAGACAAAGAUUUGAAUGGCCAGAGAUGUGCAGGCCAUCAAGGGGGCACAGCCUGGGAUGAGCUGUUGCACUUUGUCCCUUUUGCCAUACUACUAUUCAACUCGGCUGACCUGUCCACGGCCUUAUUAUUCUAUGACUAAUCUUACAGAAAUCCUAAAGCUGCAGUGCCUGAGUUAACUACUCCUGCUAGUGUAUUCUUUCCUGCGAGAAAUAGAUAAAAAUUCGCCUGUGCUGUGUGCUUGCUAGCUAGCUGCUGCCACUUGUAGCCAGGAGACAGAGUCUCAUUUUCCUGUGCUAUCCAUAUUAUGGUCUCAAUUUUUUAGACUCCGAAGAUAACAGGGAUUCUAUGACUAAUAUUUCACCCAUGUACUGAGUACUCACUGCAGGCAUGAGUGAUGUCUGAACUUAGCUUCUUGUGUAUGUAGAUUAUGUGCGGUUCUACUGUAGCAAGUUCAUAAAAAAUGGGAUGCAAAAGCAGAUGUUGAACAGCUUAGUUAGGCCUUGAUUAAAUCAAAGGGGCAUCUAAAUGGAGAUACUACAUGGUCCUGACGAACCAGUGAGAAUGACCUAGCUAUCAUGAUGAGGAAAGAGUACGCUUAACUCUGAAUCCUCAAACAUGUUCAGUGCUGUAUCAUUGUCAUUAAUCAUGAGGCGUUGAACCUUUGUCACCCAUCUUUAGUUUCAUCACAUUUUCUAUGCUGCUGGUAGUGUACUGGACAGGACUGUACUGAUGCUACGGAUCAGCAAAAGUCAGAUAUACCUGGCUAUAGCAACUGUCAAGGAUAACAUUUCCAUUAUAAGAAUGGGAAUUAUUUUGCGGGUUUCUUUUUUCUCCGGAAAAAAAGGGGCUGGAUGUCACGACCGGAUGAACUAUAAAACUGUAUUUAGGAAGGAAAGGGGAAAGUUCUCCCGAGCUAACUAUAUUCCAGGUAUAUGCUUGUUCUCAGACAAGGAGGAAGAUAAUAAUCAUGUCCAGCUAGCCACAUCCCGGCAGCUAUUAAUAGGCUCAAAGGUUUUACUGAAAAGGGGAAGAAACGCUACAGCCCGACAAUGGACUUACUACAGUAAUUAUCCUACGGCUCUCGACGAAGCGGUACGCGAGGAGAGGGUCUGCACCGUUGGAUAACUGAACUUAACUGAACUCUGUUUCUGCUACUCGCUCGCACUUGUGCUGAACCUGACAUUGCCCUCUUCUUGAACACAACGUGUCCUCACGGUGUUGUAGCAUCUUGGCGCCACUGUAGGGUUGUUGCUUUGAAAAAUUCAGGGAAGGUAUAUUUGAUAAAAUUUGCAUCCUCCCAAGUUGCUUCUUCUCGUGACAAGUUCUCCCACUGGAUUAACCACUGUACUACUGGUUGGUUCUGCCUUGGAAUCUGUCUGACUUGAAGAACUCCAGCAGGCCCUGUUUUGAUUGUCCCAUCUUGAUUGACCAUAGGUAGAUUGGGACUAGGGAUGGACUGAGAACCCACAUGUUUCUUUAGUUGACUGACAUGAAAGACAGGGUGGAUCUUGACAUGAUCAGGAAACUGCAAUUUAUAAGCUGACUUGCCCACCUUUUGUAUGACAAGAAAAGGACCAUAAAACUUGUAUUGUAGCUUAAGUGCUCCUCUGAAGCCAAAGGCUGCCAACCUGUAAGGGGCCAUCUUGAGAUAAACCAUAUCUCCCACUUCAAAGGAUCUCUCCACUCUUUUCAUAUCAGCAUAUUUCUUCAUUCUGUUUUGAGCUUGCACCAGAUUGUUUUUUAGUUGAUCCAACAUAUGCUGUUUUGCUGUCAGAAAAUCUAGUGCCUCCCCAUCUUCAGGACCAGGAAUAGCCAGCUCACUAAUGAGAGGAGGAGGAUAGCCAUAAAGAGCUUGGAAUGGUGGCAUUUUGAGACUGGUAUGAUAGGUGGAAUUGUACCAAAACUCAGCUAAUGCUAACCAAGAAGCCCACUUGCUAGGAGCAGUAGUAGACAUACACCUCAAAUAUGUUUCCAAACACUGAUUAAUUCUUUCUGUUUGUCCAUCUGUUUGAGGAUGAUAAGCAGUGCUAUAUCUCAGCUCCACUUUCAAGGCAGCAAAUAUGUCCUUCCAUAACUUGCUUGUGAAGAUCCUAUCUCUAUCAGAUAUAAUCAAUUUAGGUGGACCAUGUAACCUAAUAAUCUGAUCCACAAAAGCUUGAGCUACACUUAGGACUGUAUAAGGGUGUGACAGUGGGAUUAAAUGAGCAUAUUUUGUAAAUCUGUCCACCACUACCAUGAUCACAUCAUAUCCUUUUGAUAUUGGCAACCCUUCCACAAAAUCCAUAGAUAUGUGUUGCCAAGCUAAAUCUGCCACAGAUAAAGGGUCAAGUAAUCUUGGUUGGAGGCAGUUCUCAUGCUUGGCUCUUUGACAUAUAGGACAUGCAGCAACAAAUUCUUCCACUGCUUUCUUAAGCCCAGACCAGUACAAAAUUGACUUCACUCUCUGGUAAGUUGCCCUGUUUCCAGAGUGUCCUCCUAUUGGGGAGCUAUGUAAUGCUGCUAACAGUUUGUUUCUUAAGGGUGGAAUAUUCCCCACUAGUAUUUUCCCUUUGUAUCCGAUGAUACCUGAAUGAAGAGAAUAAUCACCUUCUUUGUGAUCACGUUGUAAGAGUAAUUUUUCCAACAAGUUUUUACUGUCAGCAUCUGUUUGAUAGCUGUCCAACAAGUCCUCAGCCCACAUAGGAGUUGCUGUAGAAAUAGCCAUACAUCCAGGGAGUACUCUGGAAAGAGCAUCAGCUACUUUGUUGUACACUCCUUUCUUAUACUGGAUAGUGAAAUUGAAUUCUAGCAACUUCAUCAUCA